UGGGGAAUAUUGCACAAUGGGCGCAAGCCUGAUGCAGCCAUGCCGCGUGUAUGAAGAAGGCCUUCGGGUUGUAAAGUACUUUCAGCGGGGAGGAAGGGAGUAAAGUUAAUACCUUUGCUCAUUGACGUUACCCGCAGAAGAAGCACCGGCUAACUCCGUGCCAGCAGCCGCGGUAAUACGGAGGGUGCAAGCGUUAAUCGGAAUUACUGGGCGUAAAGCGCACGCAGGCGGUUUGUUAAGUCAGAUGUGAAAUCCCCGGGCUCAACCUGGGAACUGCAUCUGAUACUGGCAAGCUUGAGUCUCGUAGAGGGGGGUAGAAUUCCAGGUGUAGCGGUGAAAUGCGUAGAGAUCUGGAGGAAUACCGGUGGCGAAGGCGGCCCCCUGGACGAAGACUGACGCUCAGGUGCGAAAGCGUGGGGAGCAAACAGGAUUAGA
rnacentral:rRNA from 2 species